CUCCCUGAGAGCUUUUCAUUUGGUGCGUUGGCCGGGAAAGGAGAUCCUCCACCCAGGGACCACCGACCACCCACUGGGAGGUAAGCCGGCCGGCGUCUGUCUGUCUGUCUGUCUGAUUUUGUCUCGUUCUGCCUUAUUCUGUCUGUUCUGUGAGCGCUCAGCCAGGUUGUUUGGAAUUUGGGCGGGACGAAGAAGGAGCUGACGAGCUCGGACUUCUCGCCCCGCAGCCCUGGAAGACGUUCCAAGGGUGUUGGGGCCCGACUUUUCGGGGCCCAAUCUGGGAGAGGAGAAAGAUCCGGACUAACGGCACUCUGUCUGUAUUUUUGGCUUUCAGAGGGCCCCGGACCUUUGCCACCUCCAUCUGACUUUUUGCUUUCAGUUUGGU
ensembl:lncRNA